CUGGAAAAUCUGAAUACAUGAGUUCUUCAGUAGCCUACUGUUUAGAAAACGACCUUAUUAGUGGGUUGAGAAAGCGAACAGUGUGCAGAGCUGUAAUCUAGACAUUUAUAAAAUGUGGUAAAUAGUUAGAAUGAUGAAUAAGUAGGUGUGUCCAACUUUGACCGGUUGUGUAGUUUGAGGAAACUAGUUCAAGUUAUUGCACUCAGGCACUUUCUCAGUCGUCUACACCGGGUCCUUCGCUCCUCCUGUAGUGUGUCCACGUGGAGCUCAUGCGCUCUUAAAGCGGUAGACGGGUUCGUUGUACAGCAUAUGGGUGAGUUAAAUGUUAUUUGAUCGGGUUUUAUAGUAAAUGUUUACGACACCAUGAGGACAAGUGUGAAUGUACAUUUAUAUUAAUUUGCAUACGUUAGAUUGCUCCACGUGAGUAGUUCCAAAAAUGACAACAGCUGACUUUAAAUCUAUUUAUUGUAAAAACAGAAGAAAAAAGUGAAGCUAGUUCAAUUAAAAUGCUGUUUAUACUGAAUCCACGCAGACACAGUACAGUUCUCGGUCUUGCCUUUUUGUGUUGCCCAUUCAUUUUCCAUUAGAUGAAUGUGGUGUCUUCUAAGGCGCACAAUAAAUCUUGAAAUAGCCACAUUUAUGAGAGAACACUCUUCAUUGUUCCUCUUGCUUGCGCUAUGACAAGAACAGCAUUCACAAUAAGCUAUAUCCAUGACUUGAACAUUUCUGUGCAUGCUUUAACAAUCAUGUUCUAUCGUUUCAGGUGAGCAGCGUGGACAGGGUCACAGACACCUGGUAUGCAGCUGUGAACAUUUCCCUUCUCUUAGCUGUUUAAGUUUUAGUGAAGCCAGUCAUGCCUUAAAGUGUUGCCUGUUCAUCACUUUUCAGAUGAAUGUGGUGUCAGCUAGGGCAAAUAUUAACACAUGAGGUGGCUGUUAAGAAGGGUUUACAUCUGUGCCUUUCAAUAGUUUCAUCUUAUGGACAUCAACUUUUUAAACAAUCGAUGAUGCGUUGUAUACUAUCAUAAUGCAAUCCAUAAAAUGCAAAGCUUAGUGCUAAUUGCAUUUCAUCCUGUUUAUUAUAAAGGGUGUAUAGUCACAGAAGAGUGGUUCUUUCCAGCGGCUGUAAAUUACCCAGAAUUCAAGGACUAGAGAUGCUGUUUUCUGUAUGUGUGAAUAUGCAUGACAUACUUUUAUAAAUAAAACCUUCUGUUUAACUGUC